CACAAAUAUGAAGGCGGGCUGGAACCUCUCGGGGUUACAGCCUUGCUGAAAUUAUUCACCCUUGUCUUUUGCGUACUCUCUGUUUCCUUGGUGGGUUCGCCCACCACUAGGACAAACAUAAACCUUUUGUAAUUGCAAUCAGCGUCAUUAACAAAUUAAUAAUUA
rnacentral:misc_RNA from 1 species